AGUGUGCGGAACCCGAGGCUGGAGUUGGGGGUGGGGGGGUUACCGGGAAGGUGCUCGGUACCCUGGGCUUGCACGUGGAGGUGGAGUGCAGACGCUCCCCAAAGCCGGGAAGGUCGAAGGUUUUGCCUCCCACUCGAGAGAAAUCAAAGGAUGUGCCGGAUUUCCAAUAAAUAGCACCUUUGGAUGUAGAAGAGGAAUGGCUCCCUCACCCUGCUACGCACACCCCCACGCCACCCCACAGCUCUGACACGGCUUUUCUUCGGCAGCCGCACACUGUUACCAUUCCCGGCUUGUGUGGGAGAAGACUGUUGUGCGCCUGUGUCUGUCCGCCUGGGCAGCUCCAGCCCCUGGUUAAUAAAAAAGGUACAGAUGGUUAAGACACGAAUGUGUGACGUCAGGCUCGGUUUUUAAAAGUCCCUUGUUCCCUACAUCGUUUGUGUCUCCUGAGACAGACUAUUCAGAGGAUCGAUUUGAGUCUAAUGGCAGUCAUGAGAACGAGGGACCCAUGCCAGGACUGUCAGUAUAUCGCAAUGCUGUACUUAUAACAAAAAAGUUUAUCUUUUAACAUUUUUUAACACAUAAAAAAAUGAAACUAUCAGAGUGCAAAAUGAUUCUAUCGAAACAAUUUCUUAUCUAAAAUUACAUUCCUCAUCAUAAAUUAUGCGUUCUACUUAAAAUGGAGGGAUUCUCAUAACUGGGAGGUAACAAUCAGGAUGAAGUUAAAAAAGAAGUAAUGCUAUCAACAACAAAAAAAUAUAUUUAGAAAUAUAUAAAUAAAUAAAUAUAAUUGGAGAAGUGAAAGGAUUUUUAUGAAUUUGUCUUUGAAAUUAUUUGUCUAUGAGUAACUCAUUUCAUUUGCAAUUUGCUUUGAUUUCCACACCCCCCCCCCAAAGUCUGUGCAUAAUUGGGAAUUCUUGAGAAGUGAGGAAAUCAAGUCCACAGAUUACUUUCAAAUGAGUGAAAUGUUGUAUGAAUGCUAAAGUUAACAACUUAUGAAGUUGGAAUAUUACCUUUGUAUGCAUUUAAAUAAAAAAUUAUUUUAAAAAAGUCAAAA